AUGGGUGUAGACACGGUGAAAGAUUACUGUGAUAUGUUGAAGAGCGAGAUCCAUCUUACGAAUGUCUCGGUAACGGCAUUGUCUAGUGUUACCAAGGACUUUUGGAAGAGCACAAGGGGAAUGGUGAUCCGCAUCGAGAUCCUUGUAGUACUGGCUGCUCUCAUGUUCCUUGUACUCGGUACUUUUGGGCGCUACCGUCGCCGAAGCAGAAACUGUUUCAUUCAGAAAAGUGUUUUCGGCGCCUUUUCCUUGUCCUCCUCGCUGGUAACCUACACAAUAGGUUCAAUGCAAUCCUCACCGGUGAAGGGCAGCAUGUACUCUCUUUGGGCCAUCGCACUCUUCCUCCUUCAUGGUUGCACCGACUCCAUCACAGCUCACAGUUUAAGUGACAAUACACAGAUCACCAAACAGUGGUACCAGGUGGUGCUCUACUAUUUAUAUGGGCUUUUUCUGCUAAUCAGUGGCAUGAACGAGACAGAACCUAGAGCAUGGGAGAACCCACUAGUAAUUAUUCUACUGGGCCUUUCUUUAUACCAGUUCAUGCACAGAUUAGCAGCAUAUCACCUGGCAACCCGGUCUUGGAAGUUGAACAAAAUUGUUGCUGAUUAUAUGCAUGAAGAGCACGAAAUGGGCGGUGAAAUUGAUCCAGUCACCAUGGAAGGUUGCCAUUACCUGGUUGAUUGGCCACUCGGAAAAUCCAAGAUGAAUAAUGAGACAUAUGCAACAAAAAUAACAGCAGAUUCCAAUGAAAUCAUCGACAUAAAGAAGAUAUGGUUGUGCGAGUCACUAGACACGGAGCUCAAGUAUGAAUGCCUUUCCUUCUCUCUGUUUCAUCUGUUGAGAAGGCGUGUCUUUGGGUUUGCAUGUGGCGAAUCGAAGGAAAAAGCACAUGACUUUGUAUUCAAGGGGCUGCUCCUGGAUCCGGAGGAUGGAUACAUCAGGGUAUUCAAGGUGAUUGAAGCCGAAUUGACCUUCAUGUAUGAUUUCUACUUCACCAAGUAUGCUGCCAUUUACUAUAGAUCAAUGGCUGCAACAAUUUGGUACUUGGUUUCAGCCACCAGCAUAUGCCUUACAAUAUAUGCAGUAGCUACCCGUGUGAUGGAUUAUGACUGUUUUGAGACUGAUAUGGAUCUUCUGUCUCUUACCAUCAUCAACAGCAAGGCUGAUGUUAUUAUCACCUUAGUGAUACUUGCAUCCGCUGCUUUGCUUGAAUUGGUACAAAUAUUGGUUUUCUGGACAAGUGUUUGGGGUAGAGUGUCCUUUGCAUGUCAGCAUGUCCGAGAAGAAGCAGCAGAAAAAAGAAGCAACAGAGGAAGGCUUAGCGGCUGUUGCAUGAUGAUCAUGAUGACAGUGAAAAGUCUUCUCGCAAACAUCGGCAUGCGAUGUGACUCAAAUAAACACUACUGGCAACAUGAGCUUGGGCAGUACUCACUGAUUGGAGCAGUCAGCAAAAGUAUUGAUAGCUCUAAUCCAUCGGCGACCAACCAGGAAGAUCCUCAGCUAUCCAUCAUGGCCAGGAUCCUUACCUCGGCAGUAGGCAGAACCGUGUAUCUCCUCGACUAUCUGGCCCUGAGUGUAAGAAGUCGACAAGCAAUCAAGAUCCGUGGUGAACAAUGCAAACCUAUCAAACUGCAUGAACAAGUAAAGAAGGCAGUUGUGCUUUCCCUUGUGCGCAGUGAAGGAGAACUAACGAAUGGCAAAUCGUCGUUAGUGGUCACCAAAGAAGAAUCCCUCUCAUGGGCUUGUGAGUGGGACGUGCACCCGGAAACAACCUGCAUUAUUCUGACCUGGCACAUUGCAACAUGUUACUGUGAGAUGGUACCAUACUCAGGCGGUGGCGGAGGUGAAGAAGCAGAAAUCAGGAAGUUACAGUUUGAUGUUGCCACUACACUGUCGAAAUACUGUGCAUACUUGGUGGUCUCUGAACCAAAACUUCUUCAUGGCCACCAUUAUGAUACAGCGAUGGUGUUCGAUGCAGCUGCAGAAGAAUCAAUAAAGACCCUGCGAAGCGCAACGAACAUGUACGAGGCCAUGAAAACUCUGCCGGUGGCACAAGCGACAGUCUUCGAGAGGGGGGUGAAGCUGGGGAAGGAACUAGAGAGUAAGCCAGAGAGCAAACGCUGGAAGGUGUUGGCUGAAUUCUGGGCCGAGAUGUUGCUCUACGCCGCGCCAUCAGACAAUGUCAAUGAACACAUCGACAGGCUCACCAAAGGCGGGGAGUUCAUCACCCACCUCUGGGCUUUGCUCUCUCAUGCAGGCAUCCUUGGCAGGAAACCCAAGCAUCAAGCUGGAAUCGUGUAA
rnacentral:rRNA from 1 species